UAUUACUACAAACAAUUUUAAACAAAUUUAAGCUCCUGCAACUUCUGUUUUUAGAAAAUCUAUUGAAAUUCAGCUUCCCCACUUCCUGUAUUUUCAGCAGUUCUUUAAAAUAAUUUCAGCUAUUCUUAUGCCUCUAUCAACAGCAAUUUUUCAAUAUUCAUUUCUGUAUUUUUUUGCAAUAUUUCAAAUUUAUUUCAGCUGUUUUCAUUUCUGCUUUUUCAGCAAAUCUAUUGAAAUUCCUUUCAGCUUCUCCCAUUUCUGUAUUUUCAGCAAUUUCAAAUUCAUUUCAGCUUUUCAGCAAAUGUAUUCAAAUUCCCUUCAACUUUCUGUAUUUUCAGCUAUUUUUAAAUAUUCAGUGCAGCUUUCAGCUUUUUGCAUUCCAACGCAUUUUCAGCAGGAAAUGCCUUUUCUAGUUAUUAUGUUUCUUCUAUUUCUUCCGCGCCCCCUUUCAACUCCUUCACAUUUUCAGCUAUUAAAAUCCUUCAAAUAUUAAAAUGUUCAGCUCCUUUCUGGCUUGAGGGCUAUGACUUUUCAGCUUUCUACCUCUUAUGCUUGAAUUUAUAUAAAUCAAUAAUCAUUAAUAUUUUAACAUGGUUUUCAAAUGGAGUUUUCUUUCAAAUCCUCCUAAACUUCUUCAACUUUCAGAUUUUUCAGCUUCGCAAAUCUUUCAGCUACAGACACCAUUUCAACUUUCAAAUGUUGACACAAGUCUUAACUAUUUUAUGAAAAAAAGUGCUUCUUGAUAUCUAUUGUACUUUUUUCAUAAUCACUGAUUAUGUUUCACUAGUUCUUCGCUCCGUUUCUGACUUUUACAUGAGUGUGUAUUGCGUCUGCUAGAGGGGGACCUCGACGGCUAGAGUGUGGGGCAUCGCAGGAAUCUGGUAAAAAAAAUAUGGAACUUCUGUCCUUGCAGCCAAAGUAUACACUCUAGAGGCUUCAUUUCUUCAGAUUAAUGAGGGUAUGGUUGUGCUGAUUGGAUUAAUGUGUUCAUGGAAUCCCAGAGUUCUUUAGUUUUGGCGCAAGGAGUGUUUGAGUGACACAACCUCUGCCAAAAGCCCCAUAGGCUCCAAUACAAAUCUGCCGACAUAUUUCUCACAAAAAUCCACAAGGUACACGUUCUGUCAACGGCCAUAGGAGCCGUAUUUAUUACCGGACAGACAUAAAAAGCACAUCCACGCGUUCGGUAGAGUCUUGGGUCUCGUCAAAACGCCGUAUUUUUUAGAUAGCUGUUAUAGUUUUGCGCUGGUUCCCAUUUGUUUGAGGUGUGGAUUCUGUGUAACUUGCUGUCCUGUGUCUGCCCCUUUGCAGCCGCACAGGUGCGGCGUUGUCGUGGUUACGAGCACUCACAUGCUGCAGGAUCUGUCUGUGGCUCACAGCUGCUUAUAUGACCUGAUUAGUGGAGUCACAUGACGCAGCUAUGCUUUCUGUCAACAGACCAAUAUGAUAAAGACACUCGCCCCCCUUCCCCCCUCCACCCUGACCUCUACUUACUGUUAAUCACUCAGUCAGUCAGUAUGUCUGUCCAUUUCUCCUCCUCUCUCUCUCCCUCUAUCUCUUCCUCACCACCCCUCCCUUUCUCACCCUCUCACCCUCCCUCCCUCUAUCUACACCCCCCCACCCCAUUUAAUCCAAUAGGUGCGCCGUUGUCGUGGUUACUCGCUCACACGCUGCAGGAUCUGUCUGUGGCUCAAAGCUGCUCCUAUGACCUGAUUAGUGGAGUCACAUGACGCAGCUAUGCUUUCUGUCAACAGACCAAUAUGAUAAAGACACUCGCCCCCCUCCCCCCUCCACCCUGACCUCUUCUCACUGUUAAUCACUCAGUCAGUCAGUAUGUCUGUCUAUUUCUCCUCUCUCUCUCUCCCUCUAUCUCUUCCUCACCACCCCUCCGUUCCUCACCCUCUCACCCUCCCU
ensembl:lncRNA